rnacentral:pre_miRNA from 1 species
UUGACAUCAUCCUACUUGAGAUGUAAUGUAAUGCAAAGUCCCAAGUAGGUUGAUGUCUGGC